UAUAAUUUAAUGUCAAAGCAUAAAAAUUUUUGAAAUUUUUAGUAAUAGAUUAAUCUAUUAAUUAUAA
rnacentral:tRNA from 1 species